ensembl:lncRNA
AGCGCGUGCACCGCGGAGCGCCGGACGUCGUGCGUCUUUUUUAUUUUUUUUACUUUCCACGGAACUAUUUCACACGGAUUUUCACACGGAGCGAUGCCGUAAAACAACUUUACCGCUGGACCUCUCAAACUGAUCUGUGUGUUUCGGUGCUUUUCGCUCAGUGUUAACACUGGAAGCUGUGGCAUCCAGAGACAGGCGGAGGUGCCGCUGAUUCACCGGAGAGCUCGGGCGACCGCUCUUACACCUUCUGGUGCUAGAAAGCUGAGGCCCAUCAUAAUGAAGACCACGAACAAGAUUGAUGAGGAGGAAAAGGCAAUGAAUCCACAUUAG